rnacentral:rRNA from 1 species
UGGGGAAUAUUGCACAAUGGAGGGAACUCUGAUGCAGCGACGCCGCGUGAGUGAUGAAGGAAUUCGUUUCGUAAAACUCUGUUCUAUGGGAAGAAAAGGACUGUACCAUAGGAGAAAGCUCCGGCUAAAUACGUGCCAGCAGCCGCGGUAAUACGUAUGGAGCGAGCGUUUUCCGGAAUUAUUGGGCGUAAAGGGUGCGCAGGCGGCUUUACAAGUUGGAUGUGAAAUAUUGUGGCUCAACCACAAACGUGCAUCCAAAACUGCAAAGCUUGGGUUAAGGAGAAGGAAGUGGAAUUCCUGGUGUGGCGGUGGAAUGCGUAGAUAUCAGGAGGAAUACCGGUGGCGAAGGCGACUUACUGGACUUAAACUGACGCUCAGGCACGAAAGCGUGGGGAGCAAACAGG